AUGCGGUCUUCUCAUGGCUUGGGCUUGCUAUCCCCGUGGCUCCUGUUCGAUUCGGUGAAAUCUUGGUGGGAUGCGGUUCUCUCUGAUAAUACACUCCCGACGAAGGAUCUAUCUUCCCUGUUACUUCUUGUGGGAUGGGAGAUAUGGAAUGAAAGGAAUGCUCGUAUCUUCAGGAGCAAAGCGGCGCCGGUGGCGAUUGUCAUGCGACGCAUCAAAGAGGAAGUUUCGAUUUGGGCCGUUGCAGGCGCUAAGCAUUUGCGUAAUGUAAUGCCACGAGAGUAA
rnacentral:rRNA from 1 species